GGAAUAUAGUCAAUGAUAUAGUAAUAGUGUUAUAUGGUGACAGGUUGUAACUACACUUGUGGUGAACAUAACAUAUAGAGCUGUUGAAUCACUAUGUUAUACACUUGAAACUAAUGUAACAUUGUGUGUCAAUUCUACUUCGGUAAAAAAAGGACCCCUUUUUAAAAAAAAAUUAUGUUUAUCUUUGAGAGAGAGACAGAGAGAGAGCUGGGAAGGGGCAGAGAGAAAGGGAGACACAGAAUCCAAAGCAGGCCCCAGGCUCUGAGCUGUCAGCACAGAGCCGGACCCGGGGCUUAAACUCAGACUAUGAGAUCAUGACCUGAGCCAAAGUUGGAUGUUUAACUGAGCCACCCAGGUGCCCCAAAAAGGGCCCCUUUUAAACAUCCUUUACACUUCCAAGAUAGUUGUCAUAUUUUCCAGUACCCAUUAAGAAACAUUUUUCAUAUUUAUUUAUCAAAAUAAAUAUUUAUUGAAUGAAUAUUAUUAAGGGGCCAGGAUCUGGGCCACCAAUAAAAUAAACAUAUUCUCUGCCCUCAUGAGGAUUAUAGUCUAGUUGGGGAGGAAAACAUUAAACAACGAUUCAUAGAAAUAACUGUAUGUUUACCAUUUGUUGAAGGUUAAGAUGAAAACAAAAAUCUCCCCUGUGGAAGUGACAUUUAUGUGACUUGAAGGAGGAAGAGGAGAGAGUCAGCAGCCAUCACCAGACAUCUGGCUUUGGAAGCAGUUUUGCUGAAGAGAACACAACCUGUGCCACUGAAUCCAAACAGCAUUCAUUCUUGGUGGUCGCGAGCAUCCUUGCAUCCAGAGAAAGGAAUCACUUUGCUAUUUUUUAUGGUUUAAUUAUAUUAUUGCAUAAAACAUUUUGGCUGUAUAACUUUCUGGACUUGCCUGUUUUACAACCAAUAAUCCCGCUGAAAUGUGAAAUGUACCUAAAAUUAACAAAGACAGGGUCUCAUCCCACAUCUCUGAUUUCAUUUAGGCUUGAAGAAGUAGUCCAACAUCACACAGAGUACGAAGCACAGGAACAGUGAGACCUAGGUUUGCUCCCAGCUCUGUGCCGCAAAGUCACUCACUGGUGACCUGAAGUAAGCCACAAUAGUUGUCUCAGUCUUAGACUGUGUUGUUCUUUGAAUGAUGCCAUAGAAUUAGAUCAUCUCCAAGGGCCCUGGUAGCUCUAACACUCUACUGCUGAACUCACGCUGACAUCUGAGACAGACUCAUGAGACUUAUCUUUAAGUUUUCAUUCCUAUAAUGAUAUGUGGAUGACUAGGGGCUGAAAUAUUGGGAAGAUAUCAUGGAAACUUUCUCAUAUAGACAUCAGAAAAAAUAGUCAACAGAUUUUUAUACCAUUUCUGUUUAAUAUUCCUUAUUUCUCUGGAUAAGAAAUAAAGGUUUUGAGAAUAUCUUCA
rnacentral:lncRNA from 1 species